GUUGAAUCCGUCUCUUCUGGUGUUUCACUCUGACUCCUUUUCUGUUUCUGUAGCUUGAACCAUUCUUCCAGAAAAGGUUUUCUUCUGCCUUCCUCUCCAUGGAGGUUUCUACAAUUAGAAAGAGCUCGCUUAUCCACACCGUGACCCUUAAGUUUAGCGGCACGUCUGUUCCUGACGACAAUGAGAUACGGGAUGUUUUGAUGGAGGCGGCUUCGUCUGUCGUCGACUUCAGCAUCGAAAUGAAAUCGAUCAGCUUUCUUGCCAAAACUUGAGGUGUGGAAAGCCUGAAGAUCAGCCUCAAGUCUCUAUGGUUUAAACCAAAUGCACAAGUGCAUGUUUUAACAUAUUAUUUCUUGUACUAAAGCUUAAUGUCUAUAAAAAUAGAACUAUUGUGUUGUAAUAAUUGUAGUAAUUAUUUUAUUUUCUGCUGAGGGGAAUGCAUGCUUUAAGACAUUUAUGUCCUUGUCAAACAUUAACUGUUUAUGUAAUGUUAUGGUCUUUUCUGAGUAAAAAUGAAAAAAAAAGGAAUCUCUUGUGACCAAAAAUGUAACUUAUUUCUUGAGAUGCUUCUAAGCCUUGAUUAACUCCUAUUAAGCUUAUAAUAUAAAUGAAGUUGUGUUCAAAGAGUGCUUAA